GAGCGCAGAGGCGAGGCAGAGGAUGCUCCCUCUGACUGUCACCUGUGUGCGUCCCGGAUGUGUCUUUGCGUUCAGCGCGUGUUUUGCAGCGUAGGUCCUGUAGAGAGCAGUAGAUAGUUUUAAUAAGUGCGCCUCCAGUCUGCUUUACUGUACAGUACACAGUGCAGCGGAGGGAGGAGCGACCACGUACUGUUUCUUUUUUGGUUCUUUCCACCCCACACAUUCAGGCACUCUCGGUCGGUGUGGCUCAUCCAAGCGCUUCUGUAGGACAACAGAACAGGAAUCAAAGUCGGAAGCUUCGUCGGAAGGUUGGCAGGGAGUCCGUUUUUAAUCGGUACAAGGCUGAGCAGCAGCGGCCAGGAGGACUGUAGCUCCGGAGAGCGAGGAGGAGCAGCAGGAGGAGGAGGAGGAGGGGAGCCUUCCAGCCCUGCCGCUACACACUUUCAACCAGGAGGAACCCGGCUGACUUUUUCUCCCGCUUCGUUUCCGCCUCAUGACCCAAUUCCCAGGACAACGUGGGGUCCGCGCCGCGCUGGGGAAGCCGUAGGAUGAUUUCGCUGAGGCGUUUGAUGGAAUGACAGCUCAAAUAUAGAGGAACGGUUCUGGAGCGAAUACGGUUGACAGCCAAGAACAGAAACAAGGUGGACGUCACAACGCCGGAGGGCCGUGGAAAUCACUAACCGCACGCACGUACGCGUAGACUAUGAUUGGGCCUCACUGUGAUUGGGAAGAGUGCGGCUUCUGAGAAACAUCAAAGGGUGGAUUCCUGUUUUUCCGCUGUCUACCUAAGAGCGACAUCCACCUCCAGCCCUGGCUUCAGGGCCAGCAUAUUUACCCCUGUGGACACCCCCACCUCUUUUGUGUCCUAAAGCUUCAGAAACGUCUGCAAUCCUUCUGGGGGUCGACCCCCUGCCCACCAACAUCUACUGCCGCCCUCCCAGGUACUCCAGGGACGGGACUCUGCUACGUUUUACUGACAGACCCCUCCGGACCGUCGAAUGACAAGCGUGCUUCGGAGGGCGGGGCUUGCCUCAGUCUCUCAUGAUUGGCUGCUGGAUGGAAUUGAGGUGAAUGGAACACAUGCCCAAGGAGCAGGACUCUAACCCAUCAGAGGGAGAAGAGAA